UAGGGAAUCUUCCGCAAUGGGCGAAAGCCUGACGGAGCAACGCCGCGUGAGUGAUGAAGGUCUUCGGAUCGUAAAACUCUGUUAUUAGGGAAGAACAAAUGUGUAAGUAACUAUGCACGUCUUGACGGUACCUAAUCAGAAAGCCACGGCUAACUACGUGCCAGCAGCCGCGGUAAUACGUAGGUGGCAAGCGUUAUCCGGAAUUAUUGGGCGUAAAGCGCGCGUAGGCGGUUUUUUAAGUCUGAUGUGAAAGCCCACGGCUCAACCGUGGAGCGUCAUUGGAAACUGGAAAACUUGAGUGCAGAAGAGGAAAGUGGAAUUCCAUGUGUAGCGGUGAAAUGCGCAGAGAUAUGGAGGAACACCAGUGGCGAAGGCGACUUUCUGGUCUGUAACUGACGCUGAUGUGCGAAAGCGUGGGGAUCAAACAGG
rnacentral:rRNA from 1 species